GACGAACGCUGGCGGCGUGCUUAACACAUGCAAGUCGAACGGAAAGGCCCCUUUGGGGGUACUCGAGUGGCGAACGGGUGAGUAACACGUGAGUAACCUGCCCUUGACUUCGGGAUAACUUCAGGAAACUGGGGCUAAUACCGGCUAGGAAUCCUUGCUGCAUGGUGGGGGUUGGAAAGCUUCGGCGGUUUUGGAUGGACUCGCGGCUUAUCAGCUUGUUGGUGGGGUAGUGGCUUACCAAGGCUUUGACGGGUAGCCGGCCUGAGAGGGCGACCGGCCACAUUGGGACUGAGAUACGGCCCAGACUCCUACGGGAGGCAGCAGUGGGGAAUAUUGCACAAUGGGCGGAAGCCUGAUGCAGCAACGCCGCGGGCGGGAUGACGGGCUUCGGGUUGUAAACCGCUUUCAGCAGGGGCGAAGCUUGUGGUGACGGUACCUGCAGAAGAAGCACCGGCUAACUACGUG
rnacentral:rRNA from 1 species